UUUAAAGGCAUUAAACAGCACAUCAAUGUACAUUUCAAUUAGACUAAAUAAUAAUGCUAUGAUUUUAUCGGUAGUAACUUUACUUAUUAACUUGAAUUAUUUCUUUCUUUUACUUCAUGUUAGGAAGAGUAUCUUUUUGCUUGAAAUAAAAAAUUGAUAUAGGAGUAAUAAUAUGGAUAGAGAUCAAAAACUGUUAGGGCAGAAAUUACACGUUUGAACUUUAUAGUUCAGUAUAGUUCAAAUAGAAAUUAUAUAGAAUUAUUUAAUAAUUUGUAUUCCACUGGAAUAAAAAUUUAAUUUCUGUCUUUAUCAAAUCUCUAUUUCAGAGUAUUUGUACGUAUGUACUUAUCGUCUGCUGUAUGAUCGAAUAUCGAAUAGGCGCUUGGCCAUGGAUCGCUGCAUUAGGUUUUCGUAAUCCCCGAAACCCAGACAAACCACUAUGGAAGUGCGGAGGUUCCCUGAUAUCGGCUAGGCAUGUUUUGACCGCAGCACAUUGUGCACAUAUGGAUGGAAUAGAAAACAUACACAAUCAUAAUAUUGCCAUUCUUAGAUAGGUGGAGGAGGUGCCAUUUUCGAGUAAGUCCUCAAAUAUAUAUAUAUAUAUGCUAUUGAGUAUUACUGAAGUAUCAUAUCCUGAAAUUUCUUACUGUACACAUAUAUUGUGUCAUAAAGCGUGUACAAUUCUUUCUCAUACUUUUGGUCAUUCGUUUCCUGCAUUUUCAUUUAUUUUUUUAUUUUUCAGGGUACGUAUAUCCCAUUUGUACGAAAGAGCAACUUCGUCGGCUAUAACCCCCUUGUUGCUGGAUGGGGAGCGUUAAGAUAUAGCAAGUGAUAUCAAUUUUAUAAUAAAAUUAAACAGUUCCAGUCUUAAAUAUCUUUCUCAUUUUCUUCGUAGGACGACCACGACCUAAUGCAUUAAUGGAAGUACAAAUGCCAGUGAUUAAGAACGCCGAAUGCAAAAUAGCUUAUUCCAAAUUUCCUAAUGCACCUGAUAUCACUGAUGGUAUAAUAUGCGCCGAACAUGCUCAGGGUGGAGAGGAUUCUUGUACGGUAAUUAAGUUACAGAGUUACUACAAACUAUACGGUAUCUGAAGACACGUCAAUUCGAAUUAACAUCAAAUCGACGUCUUAAACAUUAAAAAUAA